CUAAAAUUUGACAUUCAGUAACACACAUUUCCAGCAGAGACUUCCAUUUUGUCUGAAUUUGUGAAAGAAGUGAACCUUAAUGAGUGGGGAAACAGCCCUAAAUAUUUCUUCUGUUUUUUUCUUUUCUUUUCUUUUUUAGCUUUCAUGUAACUCCAAUGUGUUAACUUUGCCUGAAUGUAUUAAACAAAUUGUCUGGAUGAGGUCAGUACCCAGAUCACUAAGAAAGACUGUGGAAUUCCACUCAGUACCCUACAGUGGCUUCAAGAUGUCUCAUGAUAAGCAGGAUGUGAUUCACCAGAUACUGCACUGUGGGAAGAUGAGAGAAGGGGUACUGGGUCAUAGAAGAAGGCAUACAGGCUUGGCAGCCAGGGCACUGAGUGCUGACCCAGCUGUGCUGGGAAUAAUCCAUGAGGAAGAACAAAGGCCUCCGUGGAAGGAGCUGAUGUCUUGGGGAGGUCUGGUGGAAAGCAAUCUCAUCUAGCUCCCACCUUCCUCCAGAAAUAAGAGGAUGCACGUUAGCUAUCCUGAUGGUACUGGGAAUAUCUCUAUAGGAUACUUAAAUAUCAAGUAUUAAAAGUAAGUGCACAAUGAUUUCAUCAUCCCCAAAGAACCUGGUUAUCUUCAGUAGCUAAAUUUAUACUGUAUUGCAUAUGGUGUGGAUGCACUCCUCAAUUCCCUAGAAGUCUUUUUGAGUCAAGCUUAUGAGAGGAUGGGUAUCAAAAUACAAAAGCUAAACUAACAAAAAGGUUCUAGAAGCCCACAAAAUCAAAUUAACGAACAAUCACAUACUGCUCUGGUUCGACUGUUGAAUGUUCCCUAAAGACACAUAUGUUAAGGUCUUGGUUCCCUGGGUAGUGUCCUUGAGAGGUGGUGGAAACUUUAAGAGAUAGGACCACAUGGGAGGUCCUUAGGUCACUGGGGUGAUCCCGAGGCAGAUAGUGGAAUCUAGCCUCUUCCUCUAUUUUUUUUUUUCUUGAACAUGAGGUGAGCAG
rnacentral:lncRNA from 1 species